GUCCAUUGACUUGGACAACUUAUGACAUUUGACCUC
rnacentral:rRNA from 1 species